CUAUACUCAGAGGUGUCCUGUCUGAGGCCCAGCUGGUGGACUCCGGAGGGGAUAUCAAAAGGCCCGGAGAGUCCCUCCGCCUCUCCUGUCGAGCCUCCGGCUUCACCUUCAGUAAUUAUCGCACGGUCUGGGUGAGGCAGGCUCCUGGCAUGGGUCUGGAAUGGAUUGCACGGAUAUACACUGAUGGGAGCAAGACAUUUUAUGCCAGUUCAGUACAAGGGCGCUUCACCAUCUCCAGGGACAACCCUUCCAACAUGGCAUAUCUGCAAAUGGACAGCCUGAAACUUGAAGACACAGCCGUGUAUUACUGUGCAGCACACACA